UACGUAGGUGGCUAGCGUUGUCCGGAUUUACUGGGCGUAAAGAGCACGCAGGCGGUCGUUCAAGUCGAGUGUGAAAGCCCCCGGCUCAACUGGGGAGGGUCACUCGAUACUGAUCGACUCGAAGGCAGGAGAGGGAAGUGGAAUUCCCGGUGUAGUGGUGAAAUGCGUAGAUAUCGGGAGGAACACCAGUGGCGAAGGCGACUUUCUGGCCUGUUCUUGACGCUGAGGCGCGAAAGCUAGGGUAGCAAACGGG
rnacentral:rRNA from 1 species